AAACUAAAUAUGUGAAGCAUACAACUCAACACUUAAGUAGUUUGACCUUGACACAACAGCUAUCCAUAACCUAGAAUCUAUGGACAAGUAUAAACAAUUCUACUCGUCACUUCUUGAGGGGAACACACAAUUUGCAAUGGCUUCUCUAAAGGAGUGUUAUGGAUCUUAGUAAACCAUUAACAAAAAGAACGAUCGAUAGAUAGAUAUAUAUAUAUAUAUAAUCUAGAUUUAAAUCAGUUGUUGUGCCAGUGAACAACUAAGCAAGUGUUGCGUUGUAUUCUUCGAAUAUUCAGUUU